rnacentral:rRNA from 1 species
ACGCUCGACACCUACUGGAGGCAGCAGUGGGGAAUAUUGCACAAUGGGGGAAACCCUGAUGCAGCGACGCCGCGUGGAGGAAGAAGGUCUUCGGAUUGUAAACUCCUGUUGUUGGGGAAAAAGAGGAUGGUACCCAACAAGGAAGUGACGGCUAACUACGUGCCAGCAGCAGCGGUAAUCUGAGCGGGCUGGCAAGGC